AUGUGGAGGGAAUAACUUGAGGACCUGGAGAAAAAUCCACGUGACCAUGGCGAGAGAGACACGCAAACUCCAAAUAUACAUUGAACCAACGACCCCCUGCAUACCAGGCGAGGUCGUUACCAUCUCACCACUGCGACGCCCAUUUUGGGAUGCUGCAGUUGAUAUCCUUUUACAGAACCAUUAAUUAAAGGUAGCCCUGCAGGUGGCUCUUGGUUGCGGUUGAGAAUGAUUACUCCAAUGGUAAUGCACUUGUAAUUGUAUAAGCAGCUGGCAGCUUCGGUCCAGCGGCAUUAUUAAAUGGUUAUUAAAUUGUGCUGUCGGGUAGUACGAUGGACAGAUAUGCACAUGCCUCUACUUCAUUUGGUCGCAUAACUGAAAUUGUCUUCACCUGUGACCAUGGUGUUGUCAACAUUUUUUUGGUUAUUAUUGAACCGUUUCAAGUCUCUCUGAAAAAAAAUACAGAAACGUUUUACACCGCGGCAUUCCCUAAGAUCAACCCACCAUGAAUGCGCUCAUCUAAUCGAAUCUCGGAAGCUGAGCUGGGUUAGUACGUGGAUGAUCACCGUGGCUUGCCAGGUGUUGUAGAUGUUCACCCACGGUGGAUGAUCACCGUGGCUUGCCAGGUGUUGUAGGUGUUCGCCCACGGUGGAUGAUCACCGUGGCUUGCCAGGUGUUGUAGGUGUUCACCCACGGUGGAUGAUCACCGUGGCUUGCCAGGUGUAGGUGUUCACCCACGGUGGAUGAUCACCGUGGCUUGCCAGGUGUAGGUGUUCACCCACGGUGGAUGACCACCGUGGCUUGCCAGGUGUUGUAGGUGCUCGCCCACGGUGGAUGAUCACCGUGGCUUGCCAGGUGUUGUAGAUGUUCACCCACGGUGGAUGACCACCGUGGCUUGCCAGGUGUUGUAGGUGCUCGCCCACGGUGGAUGAUCACCGUGGCUUGCCAGGUGUUGUAGAUGUUCACCCACGGUGGAUGAUCACCGUGGCUUGCCAGGUGUUGUAGGUGCUCGCCCACGGUGGAUGAUCACCGUGGCUUGCCAGGUGUUGUAGAUGUUCACCCAUGGUGGAUGACCACCGUGGCUUGCCAGGUGUUGUAGGUGCUCGCCCACGGUGGAUGAUCACCGUGGCUUGCCAGGUGUUGUAGAUGUUCACCCACGGUGGAUGAUCACCGUGGCUUGCCAGGUGUUGUAGGUGUUCACCCACGGUGGAUGCCAUUCGUGGGCUUUCUCCAGUUUCCUCCGCAUGAAGCCAAACAUUAAUAGAAUUAACCAAACAUCCCAAUGCAAGACAGUAUUGACAAAGAGAUAGUAAGGCUUUCCUCUGUAAAUAAUUGACGUUAUUAAGAACUAUAAUUACAUGCUUACCUUUCUGACGGUGAACGCAAUCAAAGUUAAUCAUACACCCAUCCAACAUAAAGAACAACAAAGCAUAGGGCAACAAAAUACUAAAAACCAUAACGUAAAACGAGUUCAUGACAUUUCCAUAAGCUUCAGCAUCUGCAUGUAAAAAA